AUGAGUUAAGUAUAAACCCCUUUACAAGUAUCAAUUGGAGGGCAAGUCUGGUGCCAGCAGCCGCGGUAAUUCCAGCUCCAAUAGCGUAUAUUAAAGUUGUUGCAGUUAAAAAGCUCGUAGUUGGAUUUCUGUUAAUAAUUUAUAUAAUAUUUUAACGGUAUUAUAUAAUAUUAACAUAAUUCAUAUUACUAUAAUUUAUUUAGUAUAUGAAAUUUUACUUUGAGAAAAUUAGAGUGCUUAAAGCAGGCAUUUGCCUUGAAUACUCCAGCAUGGAAUAAUAUAAAAGAUUUUUAUCUUUUUUAUUGGUUCUAAGAUAAAAAUAAUGAUUAAUAGGGACAGUUGGGGGCAUUUGUAUUUAACAGUCAGAGGUGAAAUUCUUAGAUUUGUUAAAGACAAACUAAUGCGAAAGCAUUUGCCAAGGAUGUUUUCAUUAAUCAAGGACGAAAGUUAGGGGAUCGAAGACGAUCAGAUACCGUCGUAGU
rnacentral:rRNA from 1 species